CCGCCGAAGUGGGGGUACCACAGCACUGCUGCGGUUGAGAUAGUCCCUUCGAACCUGAUCCGGCUCAUACCGGCGUAGGGAAGCUUCGUUAGAUGCGCU
rfam:Xanthomonas campestris pv. campestris str. ATCC 33913, complete genome.